rnacentral:rRNA from 1 species
AUGCAAAGUUGUUAUGAUGAUAGCAUGCCUCCUACCUAUGAUGAUUAUAUUGAUGAAAGUGGGUUCGUAAGACUGUCAACUUUAGGAAGUAGUGAUCCCACUAUUUUGGAGGAUGUUGAAUUUUAUUGUGAUGAAUAUGAAAGUGGAUUUGGAAGAGUGUCAACUUUAUUUAGUGAUUCCACUAUCUUGGUAAAGGUUUCAAUCGAUUAUGAUGAGAACGAAGUUGCUACUUAUGAUGAUUAUUGUGAUGAAAUUUAUGCUAUAAAAAGUAGUGAUGAUUAUAUUUAUAAAACUUGUCACGAUUAUGAUUACCCUUUUUCUGAACAUUACUCUUUUAAUGUGGAAACAAUUUUUAGUGUUCAAGUCGCUUAUGAUACCCCUACUAUUCCGAAUGAGAAGAAUUUUUCUUAUGUGGAGAGUAGUAAAUUUUCUAUGCUUGUAGAUCCUGAAAAGAAUGCUUUAGGUGCUGGUUAUAUUGUUGAAUUCGUUCAUGAUGCUACUGAAAAUUAUUAUGAGGGAGGAACAUAUGCUUGUAGGAAUUGCAAUAAUGUCAAGUUUCCUCUCUAUGUGUUGAAAUUCUUGAAGCUAUGCUUGUUUUAUCUUCCUAUGCUAGUUGAUUAUUGUUCCCACAAGUUGUUUGCUCACAAAAUUCCUAUGCAUAGGAAGCGGGUUAGACUUAAAUGUGCUAGUCAUAUUCUUCAUGAUUCUCCCUUUGUGUUUCAAUUCUUAUCUUUUAUGUGA